rnacentral:rRNA from 1 species
UAAAGCUUCCAACUGGGAUUAGAUACCCCACUAUUCUUGGAUAUAAAAAAUAUAUGUAUUACCAGAGUACUAUGGAUUGAUUACAUUUAAAACUCAAAGAGCUUGGCGGUGUUUUAGACUCUUUAGGGGAACCUGUCUCAUAAUCGACAAUCCACGUAAAACCUGACCUUUAUUUGCUUUCAGUUUGUAUACCGUCGUCGUCAGGUAACUUUUUAGAAGAAAGAAGUUAGCAACUGAGCUUUUAUAAGCUCUUACGUCAGAUCAAGGUGCAGCUUAUAUAAAGGAGAGGAUGGGUUACAAUUAUAAAGAUUAUAAUUACGGAAUAACAAUUUUAAAUAAUAGCUUAUAAAGGAGGACUUAAAAGUAAAAUAAAAUAGAUAAAUAUAUUGAAUUGAGCUCUGAAACGUGCACACACCGCCCGUCACCCUCUGCAGUCAA